UACGUAGGGUGCAGGCGUUAAUCGGAAUUACUGGGCGUAAAGCGUGCGCAGGCGGUAAGUUAAGUCUGAUGUGAAAGCCCCGGGCUCAACCUGGGAAUGGCAUUGGAAACUGGCUUGCUAGAGUGUGGCAGAGGGGGGUGGAAUUCCGCGUGUAGCAGUGAAAUGCGUAGAGAUGCGGAGGAACACCGAUGGCGAAGGCAGCCCCCUGGGCCGACACUGACGCUCAGGCACGAAAGCGUGGGGAGCAAACAGG
rnacentral:rRNA from 1 species